AUUGAACGCUGGCGGCAGGCCUAACACAUGCAAGUCGCACGAGUGGCGGACGGGUGAGUAAUGUCUGGGAAACUGCCCGAGGGAGGGGGAUAAAUACUGGACACGGUAGCUAAUACCGCAUAGCAUCGGAUGUGACCAGAUGGGAUUAGCUAGUAGGUGGGGUAACGGCUUACCUAGGCGACGAUCCAUAGCGGGUCUGCGAGGAUGACCAACCACACUGGAACUGAGACACGGUCCAGACGCCUACGGUAGGCAGCAGGGGGGAAUAUUGGACAAUGGGCGCAAGCCUGAUGCAGCCAUGCCGCGUGUAUGAAGAAGGCCUUCGGGUUGUAAAGUACUUUCAGCGAGGAGGCGUUACUCGCAGAAGAAGCACCGGCUAACUCCGUGCCAGCCGCCGCGGUAAUUC
rnacentral:rRNA from 1 species